rnacentral:rRNA from 1 species
GUCGAGAAUCUUUCACAAUGGGGGCAACCCUGAUGGAGCGACGCCGCGUGGAGGAUAAGGUCUUCGGAUUGUAAACUCCUGUCAUGCGUGAACAAGGUUGCUUGGAUAAUACCUGAGCAAAUUGAUGGUAGCGCAAGAGGAAGAGACGGCUAACUCUGUGCCAGCAGCCGCGGUAAUACAGAGGUCUCAAGCGUUGUUCGGAAUCACUGGGCGUAAAGGGUGCGUAGGUGGCGUGGCAAGUCAGAUGUGAAAGCCCGGGGCUCAACCUCGGAACUGAAUCCGAUACUGCCAUGCUAGAGUACUGGAGGGGUGACUAGAAUUCUCGGUGUAGCAGUGAAAUGCGUAGAUAUCGAGAGGAAUACCAAAGGCGUAGGCAGGUCACUGGACAGUUACUGACACUGAGGCACGAAGGCCAGGGGAGCGAACGGGAUUAGAAACCCCAGUAGUCC